GAUGAACGCUGGCGGCGUGCCUAAUACAUGCAAGUCGAGCGAAUGGAUUAAGAGCUUGCUCUUAUGAAGUUAGCGGCGGACGGGUGAGUAACACGUGGGUAACCUGCCCAUAAGACUGGGAUAACUCCGGGAAACCGGGGCUAAUACCGGAUAACAUUUUGAACCGCAUGGUUCGAAAUUGAAAGGCGGCUUCGGCUGUCACUUAUGGAUGGACCCGCGUCGCAUUAGCUAGUUGGUGAGGUAACGGCUCACCAAGGCAACGAUGCGGAGCCGACGUGAGAGGGUGAUCGGCCACACUGGGACUGAGACACGGCCCAGACUCCGACGGGAGGCAGCAGUAGGGAAUCUUCCGCAAUGGACGAAAGUCUGACGGAGCAACGCCGCGUGAGUGAUGAAGGCUUUCGGGUCGUAAAACUCUGUUGUUAGGGAAGAACAAGUGCUAGUUGAAUAAGCUGGCACCUUGACGGUACCUAACCAGAAAGCCACGGCUAACUACGUGCCAGCCGCCGCGGUAA
rnacentral:rRNA from 1 species